rnacentral:rRNA from 1 species
AGUGAACGCUGGCGGUAGGCCUAACACAUGCAAGUCGAACGGCAGCACAGUAAGAGCUUGCUCUUACGGGUGGCGAGUGGCGGACGGGUGAGGAAUACAUCGGAAUCUACUUUUUCGUGGGGGAUAACGUAGGGAAACUUACGCUGAUACCGCAUACGACCUACGGGUGAAAGCAGGGGAUCUUCGGACCUUGCGCGAUCGAAUGAGCCGAUGUCGGAUUAGCGAGUUGGCGGGGUAAAGGCCCACCAAGGCGACGAUCCGUAGCUGGUCUGAGAGGAUGAUCAGCCACACUGGAACUGAGACACGGUCCAGACUCCUACGGGAGGCAGCAGUGGGGAAUAUUGGACAAUGGGCGCAAGCCUGAUCCAGCCAUACCGCGUGGGUGAAGAAGGCCUUCGGGUUGUAAAGCCCUUUUGUUGGGAAAGAAAAGCAGCAGGUUAAUACCCCGCUGUUCUGACGGUACCCAAAGAAUAAGCACCGGCUAACUUCGUG